GUGUCACUAAACCCUAAGAGAACGUUUAUCGGCUAGAUAGUUGAUUCAGCCUCGGAAAAUUUGAAAAUGAAAGAAUAGAUACAGGAUAUGCUCGAAUUCCUUUGUUUAAACUGAUGCUAGAUAUGUGAUUCGAAUACACUUUCGUUUAAUUUCUUUUCUAUUCGUUAUUUUACUAAGAGAAAUAGUUCCGCCAAAUUAACAACUGAUGGCGUGACAAUCGAAUUACAUAGAAAUUAGGCUAAUGAGUUUCCUUUCUUUUAUUCUUCUGUUUCCUUGUAUCUUUGUGCCAAGAAUUAUGCAUUGCGUGAUAUAAUGUCGUAGUGCGUUUAAAAAUUUGUAUUUUUUUCCUCGGAUUGUGCAAUCGAUAUUUAUAUUAUUAUGUAUGAUUUCGUGCAUUUUAUUAUCGAUUCAUAUUAUUAUAACGUGACAUUUAUUAUUUAGAAUAUUUGUCGUUUUGUGCCUUUCAACAUUUCUUCCAGAGUUUCCAGUAUUAAAAUAAUCGUUUUUGUGUAUUUUUAUCUUCCUGGAUUAAGCUCGAGGUAAUUUACAAUUAAAUUUACCAAGAUAAAAAAGAUAGGAGUAACGAGAAGAGUUUAGCUUUCCAAGAGAAACAACAGGAGUAGUUCGAAGCUGUUACUAGCAACCUAUCAGAGUGCACAACGCCGAAUACACUUCACUUCCCCAUAGAUAUUACAUGUGCACGUAUCUACUUGCAGUUAUCUAUGCCAGUGAAUGUCAUCCGACAGGAAGGUAAUCCAUAAUCAGGCAAUGCCUAUAUCCACUUGGCUACCUAAUACCUAAUAGAUCCCGCUCGAAGUAGAUAGCCUGUGAAUUACCGGCAGAAUGAGUAUGUAGAGACAUGUGCACGUCAGCCGGUGUUUCGUCGGGUAAAACUAGGUGAAUCGAGUGGAACUAUCUUCAAGUCAAAUUCGUCUGGUGAAAAUAAAGUAUGACCUUCAGAGUCUACGUGUUGCUAAGAAUCGAAGGACAAUCAUGUCAAGUUUUUAUUAAUAUUUCAAAUGUUUUUAUCUUCUUUUUUCCGUUUCAAGAGAAGAGUUUAUACAAACUGUUUUUAAGAUUUUAUCAAAUCUUUUUUCUCUAACGAGAUUUUUUAAUUUCUUUCAAAUUUUUCUGAAGAAAAUAUAAUAUAUUAAUUUUAAUUAUUAAAAUUAUUUUGAUAUAACGAAAAAAUAUUUAUGUCAAAGUUUAUAUUUAUUUUUUUAAAUAUGAAAAUCACAAGGCAAUUUCAAUUCCAUCAAAAGGGAAUUGUGAAUAUCAUGUCAUCACUUUUUCUUUUUUAUCAUUAUUUUCUCGUUCUCUUUCAAUCUUCUCAUUCUUUUCAACUUUUCCUAGAUCGUUUCCUUCCAUUUCUUAUUAACCUCCCUCAGAAACAGCUGCUUCGAGUCUCUCGCGUAUCUCUAAAAAAUUACUCUGAUAAUACUCUGCCCUCGAAAGAUUAACCAAACAAUUUUAAACAUCCAGUUACCAACAGUUCAAAAGUGGGGACCAGUGUGGCUAAUCGUUAAUUGGAUCGAGAUUCGAAAGAACGCAUAAAGAGAACGACACGGUUGCCAAGGUUCUCGGUUAAAAACUCGAUCCUCGUUAUUUGAAAGGUGAGACGUACCGAUCGUGCCUAAUCUUUCGCCAAGGUGCACAAGCCAAGAAACUACAUUGGUUGAAGCUCACGAACUGCAAACAAGCUCUGUUGCAUCGUAAGUAUUCCUUUACAGACAAUGAGGAGGAUGAAAGGAAACGAGAGAGAGAGAAAGGGAAAAAAAGAUUGCGAGUCUAUCGAGAAUGGUUCGUAAAAUCAGUCGUAAAAAUCGUUUACAAAAUUUACACGCGAGGGCAGUGUGUUUUUACGACUCACCAAGUUUUAUCGGUUGAUCCGCACGCAAUGCAUUCUCGCGAUGUACAGAGAAGAUAAAAAAAAGGGAGAAAGAAAUGACACUCCAAGCUUUUCUACCUUAAAAAACCGUGUCUAGGAUGCAAACAGGCGAUGAACGUCGGGGAAGAAAUAAGAAGCUUAUUCAACUUCAACAUUAACCCAAAGAAUCAAGUUGCUCAAGGAUCGUUGGAAAAUUCUGCGCGCGAAAUAUCUUCUCUGCGAGCAGUAAAAAAAAGUCUUCCACGUCGCCGUAAUAAAAUCUUCCUCUGUCCGACGGCGUAUAAUGAGCGCUCCUCCCGAAGGAAGGAAGAAAGCAGGGGGUGGCCAGAUGACACGAGGGGUUAGAUUUAACUCGGCUACGGAGAUAAAGAGAACGGUUUUAUCUUCGCGCGUGAUUAAGCCACGCGGCAGUAUAUCAUCGAUUAUAUACUCGUUAGCCUAAGUGGCGAGCCCCCUCCCCUCCUUUCCUCGGAUACAGCCUUCUCCUUCGACUCGUCCACGCGGAAAGAUAACUGGUGCCGUUUUCUUUUGAGUCCAUCGGCAUUAUAUUCGAAUUUAUGGGCCGCCGUUUCGCCAUCAUUGAUAAAUAAUCGAGGCCGAUGGUGGAUGCAACGAUCCGUGGAUUAAUUCGAGAAUUAACGGGAUGGGAAUGGUGCUGGAUUGGAUGUAUAGUGAAAAUAUUCUAAAUAAUAAAUUUUCAAUAAUACAAA